AAUCGCAGGUCAGAAUACUGCGGUGAAUACGUUCCCGGGCCUUGUACACACCGCCCGUCACACCAUGGGAGUGGGAUGCAAAAGAAGUAGUUAGCAUAACCUUCGGGAGUGCGAUUACCACUUUGUGUUUCAUGACUGGGGUGAAGUCGUAACAAGGUAACCCUAGGGGAACCUGGGGU
rnacentral:rRNA from 1 species